AUCAUAUCUUAAACAGAAAUGGUCUCUGCUUGCAUUACAGGCAGUUUAUAAAGAAGCAGGAAAUGCAACAUUUUUUUCUACUUUCCUGGGUUUCAUCAUGUGGUAAAUGUGCAGAAACCUAUAAUGUGGACUGGUCUACUCACACCAUGGCUAAUUUAGAAUCGGCACCCAAGCAACCUGGUGCUUAGUCACUCUUGCACACUGUAAGUAUGAUGGUUUGUGCUUUAUUCCCUUCCUAUUUAUGUGCUUUUUUUCUUUCC
rnacentral:lncRNA from 1 species